ACUCGGGGAAUUCCAGUCAGAGGCAUAUCUCCUUGUGACGUCAGGAAGCCCAUGGUAUAUAAGAGUGAUCAUGGUGGCGCAUUGCAGUUAGCCAUAUCUGUCCAGCCGGAAAACAACACCAGUCUUACAAAGAUUUUUUUCUUCUAUACGAAAAAAAUAAAAUAGUAAUGGGUGAUUCUGGAGGUGGCUGUGAUAGCGGAGGAGGUGGUGGUGGUGGCGGGGGCUGUGACAGCGGUUGGAGUUCCGGCGGCGGGGGCUGUGAUAGCGGUUGGAGCUCCGGCGGCAGGGGCUGUGAUAGCGACUGGAACUCCGGCGGAGGGGACCACUAUGGCGGGUGGAAUGCAAGCAGUGGAACAUAUGUUACUGGAGGAGCAGCAGGAAGAGGUGGAAGGAGAAGACAAAAGCAUAAACAGACCUAUCAGAACAGUGGUUCUACACAUCCUCAUCGCCAUAACAACAGUGAAUGUUGUGUAGUGUGUUAAACCAUUUCCAGAUCUUUGUGCUGUGAAAACCGCAUACCAGUAUGCAGGAACACAGACCGUUGGGUGAUUUUAGCAACAUUAUCAGACUAGCUGAUACAAGUGACAAUAAACAAAAUGGUGACUGCAAUAUGUAGAACUGCGAGUACUGUAAACUCUACUCCAGUGCUUUCCAAACUGGGAAUUUCCAGAAAUAACGAAAACAUUGCAGUACCUGGAAUUCAGAUUAAUGAUAAUUAAAUCAUGGUAUGUGAAGUUGCAGUGAGAUCAUCCUAUCGUAAUUUAGUAAUAAAAUUCAAUCAAAUAACAAUAAGCAUCAAAAACUACAAUACGGAAUUCUACCAGAAGAAAUACUGAAUAUAUCUACGUGUGUGACAAGACCAAAGUAUUUAGACAGGCAUGCCUCAGCAACACUGAUCACUUGGCCAGUACGCGUCACUCACCUCAUGGCAUUUGCUUCUUUGUCAAUGAUGGUUAACGUGACUGCAUGUUGCAGUCAAUUAAGGGUGCAUGAAUAUUUUCAAAGAGUACUCAGAAAUAAUGAGUGCAUAUAGAGGUAUUGUACAUGAUAUGGCCAGUGUGUGUAUAAGAGAGUAAAAUAAGAGAAAAUGUAUCAGGAAGGAAAUUGUGUUAUUCAAUAUAUACGCACAUGACAUGGCCAGUGUAUAUACGUCAGAAUUUACAGUAGGAAAAAAAUGUUUUAGGAAAAAGAUUGUGUCAUGUAAAUAAUUAAUUUAAAUUGAUGUAAAAGUAUCACAAAUAUUUGUACUAUAUUAGUAUAUUAUACUCAGACGCAACUCGCGCCUCUCAGUUUCGAGAUGA